CAUGGUCGGAUGAAGGCGAAAGAUAAAGAUCUUUAUUCCUAUUAAUCAAAGGCCAUAUCUAAUGGACAUUUAGCAAGCUAUCUGCAACCAUAAUAAAGAUUUUGGCGACUAUAAAAAGAGCAUUUGAAAAUCAAAAGCAAAGAUUAUAAGGUUUAGAAUUUGGACUACAAUUUUUAUACAAAUUUUAGAGAAUUUGGAGUUGACGUGAUGAAGUUAAAGCCAUUUGAAUUUAAGAUAUCUUUUUAAGAUAUA
rnacentral:lncRNA from 1 species